rnacentral:rRNA from 1 species
GACGAACGCUGGCGGCGUGCCUAAUACAUGCCAGUAGAACGCUGAAGGAGGAGCUUGCUUCUCUGGAUGAGUUGCGAACGGGUGAGUAACGCGUAGGUAACCUGCCUGUUAGCGGGGGAUAACUAUUGGAAACGAUAGCUAAUACCGCAUAAGAGUAGAUGUUGCAUGACAUUUGCUUAAAAGAUGCAAUUGCAUCACUACCAGAUGGACCGCCGUUGUAUUAGCUAGUUGGUGGGGUAACGGCUCACCAAGGCGACGAUACAUAGCAGCCCGGGGAGGGGGAGCGGCCACACUGGAACUGAGAACGGCCCAAAACUCCUAGGGAGGGAGCCGGAGGGAAAUUUCGGGCAAUGGGGGAAGGCCGAACGGGGAAACGCGGGGGGAUGAAGGAGGGUUUCGGAAUCGAAAACCUCUGUUAUAAGGGAAAACGAAAUGGGUAAGGAAAAAUGCACGCUGUGACGGUACCUAAUCAGAAAGCGACGGCUAACUACGUG